UUUCCCCUUUCAACUCUUCCCUCUUCCCUUAUUCUCUUCCUCAUCCUCCACUACACUACCAACACUACUGCCGCCACCACUCCCCUACCCUUUGUUGAAUUGUGGCCACCGUAGGCUUGAACAACUUUGGGAGAGCAGCUACAACGAACUCGAGCUCGUGGAGAAGACUCGAGUAGCGCUGCAAUAGCUCCGGGGAGGCUUAAAAGGGGUUGGACAGUGGCACAACAAUGGUUCAACAAAGAGCAGAGAGGCUUGGAGCACCAGCAGCAGCAACAACGAGUAGGGGAGGGGCAUGGAGCACCAGGAACAAAAGGGGCACGGAGAUGGUGAUGUCAAUGACCUUCAAGGGGAGGAGAUAGAUGGGUUAUGUUGGUGUCAGAAAUAAUGAAGGAGAUGGGGAUGGUGGAUAUGGCAGAGUCGAGGAAAAGAGGGAGAGGGUGAUAGCUAUGGAGCAGGAAAGGAAGCUCUGUGUGUGUUUCUCUGUGUGUGGGGGCCGAGAGAGAGAGGCGACAACAACGGAGAAGAUAAAGAUGAAGUUGAAGGGGAUUAAGAGGAUGGUGAAGAUUACAGGCUUGAAUCUGAUUACUCGAGAUACUUAUCGGGUUGAUGAUGAGCAUAUUGUGGAGUUUGUUGAUCCUUGCAAUAGCUUGGCAACCCCUGAUCAGCAACAAUAUGAUGAGAAGAGCAUAAGAAGAAGGGUAUGGCAUACGAAACAACAUUGAAAAGAAAGCAGCAUAUUUGCAGGAACCAGAGGAACAAGUAAGAUCACGGUUAGCCAUCGAAUAAUUUCUUACAUUUGCCCUUGAGAUCCUUCAACUGUAUUACACUUGUUGACUACAAGCUCCUGAGGUACUUUUGUAUAUCUUUCCUCAAGUUCAUAAGUUUGCAGAACCUGAUACAAAGAAAUAAGCAAUUAUAUUCGGGUGAAAAUGCUCUAAGUGGGGGCAUUGCUUUAUCAUUCGUUUUGGUUCAGGUAAAUCCGCCUCCCAUCACCAUCAUCAGCUUCAUCCCCCUCUUCUCUCUCUCUCUCGAUCUGGACAUCACCCACACACAGACUAGCCCUUCCUUUCCUCUUUUCCUCUUCACACCAUCACUCACGGCAAUUCUUGCCUCCUCUCAUCCGCUGUUUCCACAGCUCUCAAGCUAUUGUUGCUGCUGCCUUACCUCCCCGUGAGCUUCCUGAGUCGCUAGGUCUUUGCUGGUGUCCUCCUCCCUCGAGUUUCUGCUCCUCUACUCCACUGCUGCUCUAUUGCAGGAGGUGGCCUCUCAAAGAAGGGGAAGCAAAAUAGGGGUGUUUCUUUGACGUCCCGGGGGUGGGGGAGUGGUGGCGGCGGUGGUGUUAGCAAUGGCAGUGAAGAACAGGAAUUGGGUAAGAAAAAAAAAUAAAAGAAGAGAUAUAGGAGGGAAGAGAAAAAACGGACAGGCCAAUGGGGUGGACACACGUGGCAAAUAAUGGCCAGCGGGACAGCUGUUAACGACCACAUUUGCUCGAAAUCGACAGAGGCUUCGACAAACCCUAGCAAAAGAAACGCGAUCGACAGAGGCUUCUUCGAUUCCUCCCUUGUUUGGGUUUGGCUUCCUCCCUCGACAGAAAUCGACAAUCGGAAAGCCGAAAUCUCCACUGCUGGAGCAACCAGCAAGGGAGAAAAGGAGGAGGGAAAGGGGGAGGACGGUGAGGUGUAGAUUGAGAGGAAGUGGAGCCCGUGGUGGACGAGGAUGGCGAUGGACUGGAAGAGGAUUUUGAGAGUUGAGACGAAGGAAGAAGAGGAAGAAGAAGAAGAAGAGGAUGACAGAGCGGUCGAGACGAUGGACUGGUGAGGGUUUUCAAGUUCGUCUCUUUCCGCAUGGUCUUGUCGGUCGAUUGAUCAGCCGUUGAUGAUUUUCUUCUUUGUCUGCUUCGUCUUCUUGGUUUCUUCGAUUUCGAUUCGAUCUGUGUCGAGUGAGGGAGGGGGUGCAGGAGGUUAUCCAUGGCUGUUGCUGCUGUUCAUCUUCGGAGAAGAAGAUGAAUAGUGGCUUUUUUUUAUAUUUAAAAUCAAUGGUAUAUGUGUUUUUUGGCUUUGACACAUGUCAUAUUCCUCAUGUAUUCCGAUUAACCAAAUAUAAAAUUUCAAUUCUCAGAUUUGUUAUUUCCUCUAAUCAAACAAAUAAAAGUUGAUCGGAAUUUUUAUUA